GUGAGCCAGUAAAAAUACUUAUUCCUCAACCAUAGACGGUCACAUACAUCAAAACAGUUGGUUCCUGCCGACAGAGUCUGUAUAGUUAUCAGAUUUUCUGUGCGAUGGCUCCAUACAUA